UACGGGGGGGGCAAGCGUUGUUCGGAAUUACUGGGCGUAAAGGGUUCGUAGGUGGCUUGCUAAGUCAGACGUGAAAUCCCUCAGCUUAACUGGGGAACUGCGUCUGAGACUGGCAAGCUCGAGUGCAGGAGAGGAACGCAGAAUUCCAGGUGUAGCGGUGAAAUGCGUAGAUAUCUGGAGGAAUACCGGUGGCGAAGGCGGCGUUCUGGACUGCAACUGACACUGAGUGAACGAAAGCCAGGGGAGCAAAUGGG
rnacentral:rRNA from 1 species